AGUGAACGCUGGCGGUAGGCCUAACACAUGCAAGUCGAACGGCAGCACAGUAAGAGCUUGCUCUUACGGGUGGCGAGUGGCGGACGGGUGAGGAAUACAUCGGAAUCUACUUUUUCGUGGGGGAUAACGUAGGGAAACUUACGCUAAUACCGCAUACGACCUACGGGUGAAAGCAGUGGAUCUUCGGACCUUGCGCGAUUGAAUGAGCCGAUGUCGGAUUAGCUAGUUGGCGGGGUAAAGGCCCACCAAGGCGACGAUCCGUAGCUGGUCUGAGAGGAUGAUCAGCCACACUGGAACUGAGACACGGUCCAGACUCCUGCGGGAGGCAGCAGUGGGGAAUAUUGGACAAUGGGCGCAAGCCUGAUCCAGCCAUACCGCGUGGGUGAAGAAGGCGUUCGGGUUGUAAAGCCCUUUUGUUGGGAAAGAAAAGCAGCAGGUUAAUACCCCGCUGUUCUGACGGUACCCAAAGAAUAAGCACCGGCUAACUUCGUG
rnacentral:rRNA from 1 species